ACGAACGCUGGCGGCGUGCUUCACACAUGCCAGUCGAACGGAAAGGCCCUGCCUUUGUGGGGUGCUCGAGUGGCGAACGGGUGAGUAACACGUGAGUAACCUGCCCUUGACUUUGGGAUAACUUCAGGAAACUGGGGCUAAUACCGGAUAGGAGCUCCUGCUGCAUGGUGGGGGUUGGAAAGUUUCGGCGGUUGGGGAUGGACUCGCGGCUUAUCAGCUUGUUGGUGGGGUAGUGGCUUACCAAGGCUUUGACGGGUAGCCGGCCUGAGAGGGUGACCGGCCACAUUGGGACUGAGAUACGGCCCAGACUCCUACGGGAGGCAGCAGUGGGGAAUAUUGCACAAUGGGCGGAAGCCUGAUGCAGCAACGCCGCGUGCGGGAUGACGGCCUUCGGGUUGUAAACCGCUUUCGCCUGUGACGAAGCGUGAGUGACGGUAAUGGGUAAAGAAGCACCGGCUAACUACGUG
rnacentral:rRNA from 1 species